GACGAACGCUGGCGGCGUGCUUAACACAUGCAAGUCGAACGGAAAGGCCCUUUCGGGGGUACUCGAGUGGCGAACGGGUGAGUAACACGUGGGUGAUCUGCCCUGCACUUCGGGAUAAGCUUGGGAAACUGGGUCUAAUACCGGAUAGGACUACGGACUGCAUGGUCUGUGGUGGAAAGCUUUUGCGGUGUGGGAUGGGCCCGCGGCCUAUCAGCUUGUUGGUGGGGUGAUGGCCUACCAAGGCGACGACGGGUAGCCGGCCUGAGAGGGUGUCCGGCCACACUGGGACUGAGAUACGGCCCAGACUCCUACGGGAGGCAGCAGUGGGGAAUAUUGCACAAUGGGCGCAAGCCUGAUGCAGCGACGCCGCGUGGGGAUGACGGCCUCGG
rnacentral:rRNA from 1 species